rnacentral:sRNA from 1 species
GUUUAGCCCCGAUCGAAGUGGAAAUCCUUAUAAGCCGGGGUUCGGCUUAUAAGAUUUGAAACGGAGAGCGGGAGGGAAG